GCGCCGGUGGUGUAAUGGCGUAGAGCAUUUCCGCCCGAUCAGAGGGAGGUGCGGGUUCGAGUCCCGCCUGGCGCU
rnacentral:tRNA from 1 species